GCAGCACUAUUAACUGGUGCGUUUUGAAAAAAGAAUUGUUCCAUUGAUGAACUUUGGAAACAAUUAUGUUAUUAUACAUAAACCAAGAACUUGUCAGCCUGCACCCUGUGACUUAGUGUUGCCACUGCUGGCUACAGGGGGGCACAAGACAAUAUACAAAAUGAAUCCAUAGUUACUACGAAUUAACCAUGUAAUAUGGUACGGCUAAUGACCGACACGAAAUUAUAAAUUAAAAUGUGCAUAUUGUGGUACGAAAUAGAACCACGCCCUCAAAACGAGUGUUCUCUCAGACAGGCGGCGAGCCCCUGUCACGUGAUGAAGAUGUUAUAAAAUCGAAAGCUACGGCCUACAGAUUCAUUCCAGUUCACCGUGUUAGAGUUGGAAGCUGCUGAUCGCGCACGCAUAUUUCGCAACAUGUCUUCUGCUCUGGCUCGUCUCGUCCGGCUCCCAAACCUGCUGCAGGCGCCUCUGAGCAGAGGGAUUGCCUCAAAUCCUGCCAAGAGCCCAGUGUCUGCCGGGGAAGCUUUGAUUGGUCUAUCUUCCUUCGUGGUCUGCUCUCUGGUACCAGCUGGAUGGGUUCUUUCCAAUAUGGAGACAUAUAAGAACAGAGACUAACCAUGAAGUAAUCUGCCUCUGCAACAUUCCUCCUUCUGCUCCAUAAGACUCCUGACACAUGCAGCUCUGCUGGUCCUUAAAGCAAAUGCUUGCCCUGCUGUAGCAUUAUCUGGCAGCCUGUUACAUUAAACUGUUUACUUCAGUG